rnacentral:rRNA from 1 species
GAUGAACGCUGGCGGCGUGCCUAAUACAUGCAAGUCGAGCGAACGGACGAGAAGCUUGCUUCUCUGAUGUUAGCGGCGGACGGGUGAGUAACACGUGGAUAACCUACCUAUAAGACUGGGAUAACUUCGGGAAACCGUAGCUAAUACCGGAUAAUAUUUUGAACCGCAUGGUUCAAAAGUGAAAGACGGUCUUGCUGUCACUUAUCGAUGGAUCCGCGCUGCAUUAGCUAGUUGGUAAGUUAACGGCUUACGAAGGCAAGGAUGCGUAGCCGACCUCAGAGGGUGAUCGGCCACACUGGAACUGAGACACGGUCCAGACUCCUACGGGAGGCAGCAGAAGGGAAUCGUCCGCAAUGGGCGAAAGCAUGACGGAGCAACGCCGCGUGAGUGAUGAAGGUCUUGGGAUCGUAAAAAUCUGUUAUUAGGGAAGAACAUAUGUGUAAGUAACUGUGCACAUCUUGACGGUACCUAAUCAGAAAGCCACGGCUAACUACGUG